UUUGAUAAUUAUUUCCUUUAGAACAACAUUUUUACAUUCCGAACAAAAUUGUUAAAUAUUGGUUUACCGAUGAUAUUAUUUUUAUUAAUAAAAAGUAGGUUUUUGUCAAAA
rnacentral:rRNA from 1 species